UACGUAGGGUGCGAGCGUUGUCCGGAAUUAUUGGGCGUAAAGGGCUCGUAGGCGGUUUGUCGCGUCGGGAGUGAAAACCCAGGGCUUAACCCUGGGCUGGCUUCCGAUACGGGCAGACUCGAGGUAUGCAGGGGAGAACGGAAUUCCUGGUGUAGCGGUGAAAUGCGCAGAUAUCAGGAGGAACACCGAUGGCGAAGGCAGGUCUCUGGGCAUUAACUGACGCUGAGGAGCGAAAGCAUGGGGAGCGAACAGG
rnacentral:rRNA from 1 species